CCCGUCAACAGCAUAAAUGCUGUUCGUAUCACAAUUUUGACAAAACUGUGCCAAGAAAAAGUGUACAAAACUUAUACCCGUCACAACUACGGGUUUUUGUUCCGAAAAGCUUAGCAAAGUGCCGUAAUAUCGUGCUUAUGUGUGUAUUUCUGCCAGGAUAGCGAUCAUAUUUCAACGUUCCCAUUCGUGUACAAUUCUUGAUCGGAGAGCUAGAUCCGAGAAAAAAAAAUUCUAUUACGCCCGUAACUGUGCAUUAUCAGACCCGGUGUGUUGGAGAGUAAGGAAAAAAACGCAAACCCAUCAUCGAAUCCACCCGAUACCCCUUCCAAAUGACGCACCUAUCGGCAGGACACUACGUCAUGGCAGCUGUGUAAAAACAUCCGACAACACAGUCGAAACCAUCUUUACCGGCGAGAGGUGUGUGUGCUGUAGCGGAUUGCUUGCAUAAAGUUCUUCCCGGUGUACGUUGAUGUGUCGUUUGCUGGUGCGUGAUUACUCAACACGAGCAUUAGCCGAAAACAUGUUAAGCGUAUUGUGAAAAUUAGCGCAAAACACAAAGUGAAGUUUUCGAGUGUUUCUAUCGAGUACACAACUGCAGUUGAUCUGAUCGUGCUUUUCUCCGUUCCGUAUUGUGCGUGGGUUGUGUCCGUUGUCGAUAUCAACAAGAGCCAAGUUACACAUGUCCUUGUCGUUUAAAUGUGAUGAAAAAAAGAAAUGUAACCAUCAUAAAUCAAUCUACGUAACUAAGUGUAGUGUAAUUGCAAGAAAGCAAAAGUAAAAAAUAUCCUCCAUACCCAACGCCUACUAACGCGCAUCACUUAUCACAGUUUCCUAGCGUACCGUCUUGGUGAUGAAAGGUUUGAUCUGUAUUUGAAGUGUGUAUCGAGCGUUGUUUGUCAGUGAGCGCAUAAAAGUUCGUGUUAACAAGACACCCUUCGAAAAACGAAGCGAGAACGGUGGUCAAGGAGAAGAAAAUUUGCCGCACAAAUUGAAAACACGUAGAAAAACAUCAAGCCCCACGUCAGGCGGAAGAUAUAAAUUCAAACCCAUGCAUGGUACGAUUCAACAUUUUUUUAACUUUUAUGUAUACAUGCAAUUUAAUGCAAUCGAAGUAAUAACUGGUAAGAAAUAUAUCUCUUGAUAAGACAUUGUUCAACUCAAUCGAUAGGACAUACACACAGAAUCAUUGAAAAAUGAAGAAAUGAUCAACAAUCGACGAAUAACUCUGAGAUCAGUCAAACCGUGUUAUCGUGAACGUGUGUGAGAGCAUUCUGCCUCCGACGUAUGACUAAUUCAAUCAUAAUUCGGAGCCGUGCGGAAAUAUCAUCGCCCAUCAUCUUAUCUGUUAAUUGAUAUUAAUAUGAUCUCGACGCGGAAAAUCUCAGUCAUCAUUGAGUACAGGGGUUGGCUCCAGAUUUCAAUUGACAUGUUCACUAGCGUCGCUGAGGUUGCGGUACGCAUCAUUCAUAUUACGGGCAGGGUAAUGGUAGACGCGCAAUGUUUAAGGGCUUCCACCAACAGUGCGGGCGUUUUCGAGUAGAGUUGCCACCAUCAAUUGAGUCCUCUAUUGCUAUCAAUUAACCUUCCUUCUAGACCCUCUUCUUGCUUUCCUCUGCGUAUUUCACAGAGAGAAAACUUAUGUCCUGAGCAUAUUGGAUGCGCAAGCAAUGAUGUUUACUCCCCCAACGUCAAUAUCAACGCCAAUUCCAAGCAUCGUUCAGUUAAUAAACCUGCUGCCCACUUGCUUGCUCCCCCCGUUUCCUUUUAAGCGUCGACAGGCCGGCAAACAGGCUACAAAACGCGGCACAUUAUCCCAUCUGCUCAAAUGGGAGCCAUUGCGCCCAACGCCGACGGAUGGGAAUCCACAUUCGAGCAAUUCCGUCUCCACGCGGUUACUGUGUUCUCACAACGAUGUUUAUAAUGUGUCACUCCUCUCUGCAUCCCAGUCUCAAAAGGUCUCAAAACUAUGUGUGUUUGUAUGUGAUUUAAAAAUAAGCAUGAAGCUUCGACAUAAACGAUCGUACAGGGUGGCGCUCCAUACCGACCUCUGUUUCGGGUAACGCCGAGCCUUUGUGCAACGUUUCAAAUGACGUCUUAGACAGUACGUUACACCCGCUAUACUUGACCGAACGGCUCUCCGACCGAACGCAGAUCACGGGCAGUUUAGAGUGGUCAAGAAGUGUCGGCUAUGAAUUGCUUCUAAUAUCUUUGAACUUGGUUUGUGUGCACGGAAUACGACACAUGCUCAAUUAGCUUGUCAUAAAAGCGACUUUAAUGUUUUGAUUCACUUCCCUUGGUCCCACGGUAUCCCGCAAUACUUUUCUUGAUACGGGUAAAACAUUUUCGAUAAGAUUGUUUCUAUUGUACUUUCCUAGGUUUGAUAGGAAAUUAGACAAAUCUUUCAUUUUGUCUGAUAGUAGAACAAUGUUUUUUUUUAGAUUUAUUUUACUUGCGUUGAAAGUUUCGUUGAAUUGCGAGAUAAUCAGUUAAACAAAAUGAGACGCCACUGUCGGCAACUUACACAACAGCGUCAGUCGAAGAGUUCCUCUUCUGCCUUUACGAACAUACCACACUAAGGCAAUAGGACAGUCUCGGCGGUAACUCGAUCGCCUCCAACAAGGAAAAAGAGUUCCCACGUCUCUGCACUCUCUAGCCAACCGGCUGAUGCUCUUCGGACGUACAUAAAUAUUUAUACACUACACGCAAGCAAACAUUACAAACGCUCCGCAUGCUGGAACACUACUUAACGAAUUGGUUCUUUGAAGCUUCAGCAUAGGGUUUAGUUUGUUUCGGAAUACGUGGAGGUGGCGAAAUACUGAUCCAUUCCGAGAUCUUCGAUCGAAAUCUGAAGAGUACUGAGGCAGGUUUGGAAUGUGAAGCACGGUCUGCACCAUCGGUAUCUUCUUCGUUUAUCGGUGUGAGCUUUUCGGUACCUCUGCGCUGGUGGCUAACUUCCUUGAGCAGCGUUUUCUCCCCCGCACGGUUGCGACCGUAAAUAACUGCCGAAGGUUUCGGAACAUUCCUCAGUAUACAAGCAUUUCAAACAAAAACAUUCUUUAAAUUGACUUUAGUUUGAAGAGCUAAACAGUAAGCGGUUGCUAGGGAAUAACGAUCAAAGAUUCUAUCGUUGCGGAUGCUCGAAACGAAUGGUCACUGAUAAACCGACGAAAGGUUUCUCGUCUGCCCAGCAUCCUCAAAAGACCCUUCGCGGAAACUUAGCCAUUGACAGUUACGCCAAAUAUUCCAGUGAAUCGAUAAGGAUUAAACGACGGCAGUUCGGGCUGAAGAAUUGCUUCCCGUUAUUGUUUUGCUUUUUGUAGCUUCCCAUUGUGGAACACAAAACCACAAACGAGAUUUCUUUCUCAUUUUUUUCACGAUUUGUGUUUUCUUAGAUAGUUUCUCAUGCUCAAUGCCUAGGCAACCACCCUCACUGUGCUGACUGAGUUUCAUCCACGCAUGCACCAGGUCCGGAUUGGGUUUUUACCACCGACCGUUGUCAUUCCGAGCUUCGUUCGGUUGAUAUUUCUCUUUGGGGGCUCUGGACGCUGUGAUUCCAGCAGACAGUUCCCCAAGUUCUGGCGUGUGUUUGCAGGAGGUGUGGGGGAUCUUAUAUCCCGCAUCACAUUCUUAGUCGUACCUGUUUUCAAGGUUCUUUAACUCGACCGGGAGCCAGUACUAAGAAGAAGGUCGUAAUGUCUCAAGAUCCCACCCGCAUCAGAAGCCCUACCGAAGCCAGCGAGGGAAGAUCGACGAGCAGUUUCAUAUUACCCAUUACGGCUUGUGGCCGGUUAACAUUUUCUCUCUAUCGCUUUCUCACUUGCGCUGCGAUUGUCUGAUGGAGUCUACCACCGCAGGCACCAGAUAUACCGAAACGUCCAAGCAUGGUAAAGUGAACGACUAGUCAGCCGGACAGAAGUGGAAUUUCAUACACUUGAACAUCUCAUAACAACAGCAACAGCAUAACAAUCAUCAUCAUCGUCGUAGUCGUCUUCCUCAGCAGCCACAGCAGCAGCCAAAGACCUCAAUGGCAAUCCCAGCCAGCAUAGUUUCACCCACCCAUUCCUUCGGCUCCUUCCGCUCCGUCUUUGCUUCGAUCGUAUGAGCGUAUCCAAAUGUGUACGCUGGACACACUGCUAAACGUAAGCGGGCGAGAGCCUCGUGAGACGAUUCAUUUGAAACGAAUUCAAAUGAAUAUUAAUUCUGAUUUUCCCAAAUUGGAGGAGGAUUUCAUUAGGUCCGAUUCUUUUGGAUCGUUUUCGGAUCGUUUUGUCCUAUCGCUCUUUCUGACCCUCUGCUUCGUUUUGUUGUUUUCGAUCCGCACCUUGCCGUUCGGCUUCCAUAGGCACCACAUCACCGCUAUCGGUGGCGACUGAUGCUGGUUUUGUUUUUUUCAUUCUUUCGCCAUUGCGUUUUGUUUUGUUCCUUCUUAAACAUUUAAAGAUUCGUUUAAGUCGCGAAUGUUGUGGAUUUGUGAUGAGUGUUCACCUCCUUCAAGCGCUGGUAACAUCUAUGUUUGUGUUACACAGGGGCUAUUCACAAAACUGAUCUCUCCCACAACUUAUACAAAACAUUUUUCUACCUCGAAAGAAUUUACGAUUGUGCAUCAUUCUUAGAAAAAGGUUUCCUUACCUUAGCUUAAAGAAGGGCAUGGUUGAUAUGCACGAUAUUAGCCCUUUGGCUUAACAAAAUUUAACGAAUUUUAUGGAAAGAAUUUUAAAGAAUCUUCCGAAGUAAUACAAGAUAAAUCCCCUCAAGUGCAUAAUUUUAAGGGAGCCAUUAAUUCACAUUUCACCUCUUUCUUACAUUUUCAAAUUCUUGAGAUACGUUGACUUAUUUUCCUACUAUUUUUAUAAUUUUGCGAUCUGAUUUUUUAUCGAAAACUGUCACUACCAGCUGUUUAUGACUGUAUAACAAAUAAAAUUCUCAUUAGAAGAUAAUAAAUACAUCUCAGCUGUUAUCCUUUUCGCGAUCACCAAACCGUAUAAAACAUUAAAUGAAGGCAUCAAAUGUUGCAUGCGGGUUAUUUCAUAUAUCGUCACCUCAAGGCCAAAUUUUGCGAUAAAAAUCAUUCAUUUUAGGUGUCUACGUGUUCCCUUGGCCAUCGCCGCAUCGAACAAUCACUCCCUGUGGCUUUCUGUGUUGUUUAGGCGUGGUGAUAGGCUAUGUUGAAAUGAUUUAAAUUUCACCACAAUUUAUUCAACGCACUCUUCACUAUCAGCAACACCGGUGGUGGCCUUUCGUACGAAUGGCAUCGAUGUAUAGGCUACUAGCUGUAGAGAUAAACCUAAACAUUUUAAGGUGCGACAACCUACCUGCCACACUAUCCAUGGCUUGCAUAUGUUUCUUUUUUGGUGCGGUUUUUAGUAUCGCGUGCUAAACGUAUCCACUAAAUGCUUCCUCGAGGGCGUGUGAUUUGCUUUAGCGUGCCUUUAGACUGUUACAUCAAUUUUCCCUGCGGUGGGAUGUGACUUUUUUUGGUUUUUCCUAAGCUAGGACCACUUUCAGUAACGAAACAUAUUUUUUUUAGAAAAUCCAACUAGAAUUAGCUAUUAUGCAUGGAACUUCAAAUUUGUUAACUUUUUUUUUAUUUCCCCUCAAAAAGUGGCAUGCAUUUUUAUACCGAUCUUAUUGAUUUGCAAGUAUCAAAUAUAAAAAACACAUUAGUUAACCUGUAUGAUAUAAAAUUCUAUAAUCGUUCUUUUUUAUUUACGAUAUAAUAACAAGGCGUGUACGUGUGUACACCAAAGUCAUCAGAGCAUAAAAUUCAAUAAUCUAAAUAUAUUUAAAGCAUCCAGCCUUAAAGCAGGUAUUAUUUACGUUCUAUUCCGUACGAAAAUGUCGUCAUCAUUAUAAUCUUCGUUAUUAUUAAGCUCUUAAGAAUCAGAUGGACUUGAGACGAUAGUGUUUGAUGCAGCACGAUUUCCAAAUUAUUUCCUCUAACUGCUCCAUCUUCUUACAGAUAGAUUUAAAAUGGAUAUCCAUGGCCGACGAAACAAUUAAAAACUCUUCAAACCAAUAACAAGAACCACAAAAAAAACAGAUUAAAACUUCAAAAAACAAUCACUGAUUCAAUCCACGCCACCUUCUUCAGCAAGAAACAAGACCUCCAACGAUCAAUCCAAGCGACUGCAAGAUCUGUUCGACAGCAAGAGGAAACACGUUUGCUUGAUUUCGUAGGUGGCUGAGCCAGCUAAUUUUCGGACUAAUUCUUCCGCUAUGCAGACAAAAUGAAGUCGCGAGUAUGCACGCGUUGUGACGGUCACGCUUGUGUGCGAGUCCGGCCGCAGCUUCAAGGCUUGUUCACAAAUUAAUGAGCUGAUUGCAAUCGAGAGCAGCAGUAGUGGGAGGCUUCAUAUGGAAACACCACGGUUGCUGUCAUCCGACCAAGGUUAAGUGGUUCGGGGCGAAUUUAAACACUGCUGUUAGACGACGCAAAACUAUCGCUAUACGGCAACGAAACUAGAAACGUUCUUUGCUUUUCUGAUCAUUGUUUUGAUUUGUUUAAUCGACAUAUAAAAGAAUAUACCUUCCGGCACACUCUUAUGCAUGCCGACGGCAGUGUGGUGAGAACAGCACGAUGAAUAAAUUAAUGCAUUCUGAAGAUUGAUGAUGCCUGCCUUAAUGCAGCGGAAGCACUAACAAAUUACUCUUGAAAUUGUUCUACUCACAUCGUUGUGCAAUUAAUUACCAGUGGUUUAUAAACGAUACGCAUCGUACCGGGUAGAUGGCACGGCCGGAAUGGCCAAGCAUCGAUGAAUCAUCAAAGAUAAAGAAACAUACGUCCAAAAAUCGAUUUUUCAACGUGUGUUUCAAGGCGUGUUUUCCGUUAAAAUGGAGAAAGGGUGCAGCAAAGGUGAACAUAAAAGACAUUCUGUUUUUACAACAUUAUCAAAAAUGGAAAGUAAAAUACGCCAGUUUGAGCUUCCAUCGCAAACACCGAGUGCCUUUUUACUUGCGUUCAUAUCGAUGUGUUGGGGUUUUUUGCUCUUCAUUUCGUUCUUGUCUCAAUACAUUACCUCGUCUCUGCUUAUCGAUUGUUUAAACGAUCGAAAAGCUAUCCAUUAAGCAAACGGCAGCCACUAGCAAGCUGGGGAAGCGCUACCAAUUCUCAUUCGUAUCGCAGCCGCUGAUUAAGCGUAAUGAGAUGAAGUCUCUGACGUCAGGUAAGAAAGCGAAAAAGCGCCCCAAAAAUCAAACGAACACAUCGUCUACAGUGUGCACCAACGCUUGUCCCGCAACACAGCCACAAGGGUCCGUUACAAAUGCGACCGUUCCAUGCGGAGGACUGUUUGGUGGGAAGUGGACCGAGGCCGUCUAAACGUUUUGCCGGCAACAUUCAAGCAUAAGCUCAAUUAAUUAGGCGAACGCGAAAAGCCGCAAAACUACCUCUGAGAAGGCAUCUUUGCUAAAAAAAAGAAACAAAAAAAAAGGUUGAGGAACAAACUAUGAAACAUUUGUGCGGAGUGGAAAAGGGAUCUGAUCUCUUCCCUUCGAUGUUUGCUCACCGGCAUUCGUGGUGAAGAGAAAACGAGAGGAAAAAAGAAUGGGCGACGCGAAUAUAUAAAAUUAAUUGUUUUCAGUUUAAUUAUUUUGGGUUCGCUUCUUUCCUUGUGAUCCAUCGUUGGGCGGCUGUACAGUGGGGGAAAAAACCAGCAACAACAAAACACAAAAAGAACAAACGUCGGCACUGUCGCGCAAAUAGCAACCCUCAACACACAAGAGGGCACUCCCUUUUCCGUGGCAAAAAACGCAGCAUCAGUGUGGGAGAAGAUGUCGCUGCACGUUGCCCGCAGAAACCCCAACCGGAUAGGUACCGCCACAAGAAGGAUCGUAUAUGAAGAAAUUCUUUGUCGUGCGGAAAGAACAUCCCACCGAACCGGUGGAGUUGCAAGGUGGGGUUGAUGGGAUUUCGCACAAAUCGACUAAGAAUGUGACCGAUCUUUCGGGUUUCGUCUCCGAUCCUGCUUCCUCGGUGGUACCAGCCACGACGAUAUCAUUAAACCAGACAGAUACAUAUGGCGCGAGGAUAUCAAAUCGAUGAAAAGUUGCAGUUGAGCACCUUCGCGCGGAGUGGGUGGGUGUGACGCUGACGAUGUUGAUGGGGAGACCUUCUGGCGAGAGACAUAUUUCGUUAUGUUGUUUGGCUUGCUGUUGCGUUCUGUUCUCACUCACACCCGCUGUUCGCUGACCCACUGCAGCACAUUUCGAAUCAUGUGUGUUUUGUUGUGUUUUUAUUUUUCAUUUUGUUUGCCAUUUUGUUCCUUUUAAGUAAAACCAUUUCGGGACCGAUUGUUCGUUUUGACCAAAAGUACCGCCGCGUACCCGGGCAUACCGAAACGUUUCGAUGAGAUGGACCGGUGUUGAAUGAUUUCGUUGCCACGCACUCGUUCGAUCUUCCGACCGUUUCGGCACGGCUUCACUUUGUUUUGUUCCCGACUUCCCGGCCCAAGCAGACAAGUGCAACCGGCUCCUUAAUGUGCAUGCGUAUUGGUGGGGAGUAGGUUUUUUCACUCUCUUUUUUAAAUUUAUUAUCAACGCGUUGAAGGCACCCCAAGAACGGUGCCGAGAAUGCUUCCAAAAGCCAUUGGAGGAAUAUCCACCGAGGACUACAAAUCAAAACGGCAGAUAAAAUCGAAAUGUUUAAUGAUGCGCACGGAUGGAUGCGUCCCCCGGUGGAAUGGUAAGCUUUUGAGCAAGCGGCACCAGCAACAGGCAACAUGAGAAACGCACCACAGAGUAAUUGGCGCAAACCCUGCUGAGCCAUUUCGGCCAAGGAAAAGGCUUUUUGACGCUCGAAACGCGAAAGAUUUCUCAUCUGUUAAACGUGAGUUCUUAAGCGAUGAAACGGUAGGAUUAUGUAGCAAAAUUUUAGCAGAGUCUGGGCAACGCCACCCAACAUCGUUAUCCUGGUGCACUUCCAGAGGGGAAUGGUUCGGAAGAUCAUCAACUACAAAGGUUAAAGUAAAAGCAGCACGUCAGCGUUCAAAAUGUAAGUGUCGAGCGUGUCAUGUGUGGCACUGCAUCGACCCGCCAGCGGUUACUUUCUGAAGGUUAAGGAAUUACGGGCUUGGUCCGUGUCAAUUCCUCUUCGAUUAUCGCGAUAAUCCUUAAGUGAUGAAGUUUGAACGUUUCGAUGAGCCGUUUCUUUCCGCUCCUUCCACACAAAUUGUUGUCCAUCGCGUCGAUCACUCCCGCUCCCAUAUACCACCGAAACCAGGAAGCAAAGGUAAAAGUUGAUCGCGUACCAUCUCAAACUAUUAUCAUCUUCAGCCCGAGCACUUCUCGCCUGGCGCAACCAAUGAUUGCGCCAAUGUGCUUACCAAAUUUUAGCCUCCCGGUUGAAGUUCAACCAAGGGAAAGGUCUCCCCGCCAAAAGUGGGGUAAAACUUUCAAAUCAAUUUUCGCUUACCCAACCGGCAACAAACAAACGAAACGCGUUAUCGCGUAAAUCGCGUGCGUUUGAGUCUUUUCUGUUUUCUUUACGCUCUUCGAAGAACUUCAAAAUCGAAGGCUCACAGUGAAGCGUUCAGUGAAAGAUCGGGCUCUCUUAACCGCGGCAAUUAAUCAGUGCAACGAAAUCUCUUUACUUCUUUCGGGGGUUUUAUUUUAUAGAGAAGGAAGGAAAUUGCACGGUCGAAGUUCGAGCCCUCACGGGUGCUGAUCGGUAUCAGACAUAGUGAACAGAAGAGGAAAACAGAGAUAAAAUGAAGGGAAAACGGAAAACGAUCAACAGCAGCAACAACACAAAAAAACGGUUCGCAACAACCUGACUUAUCAUGCAAGAAGAGGUGUUUGACCGUUGUGGGUUGUUGCGUAACGUAAGCAAACGUUUAGAAAGCAAAAUAUAACGAAUUACCAAACAACAGUGCGAUAGUGGGAUCGAAGCCUUGCUAUAAAAAAAUAAUUAUAAUUGAACAGCACUUGUAGUAUAGAGACUUUUCGGCAAGCUCAUUCUGUAAGAACACAAACUUUUGCUUCCUUCUGCUUGAUCGAUCUCAUGAUCCAGGAUCUCAUGUGAGUUUGGUUUCAAAUUUCUGUAUGAUUGUUUUCUCCAAGGCACACCUGAAGCUGCAGUAAACAUUGAUGCGUUUUUCAUGCAUCACAUAAUACUGUCGCCGCCACUGCGAAGGUAUCUUGUUUCAUUUGGAGUGAUCGAUGAGAGUCAUUCAAAAUUAAUUGGACUGUUUUUCGGCACCGUUCGGCAGAUGGGAUGAAGGUUUGGCAAAUUUAAACGAAUGGCAACAUUGCACAGCAAAGAUAUGUCUUCAGCGGUAAUCCAAAUAAAUGACUCCAUACCAUGGAGAUGCUGAGGUGGUGAGAACUUUAAAUCUUUUUGCAGCGCGGGUGCUCUCAGCUUUUACGAACUUGUUUAAUUGUUUUACCGAUUGUUGCACAUUAGCGUAGUUUUGCGUACAAGAUACGGGAAAGAGUGUCUUUUGCCAUGAUGAUUCACCAUUCCAUUAUGGCUCGUGUGAGCCGUCGUACCGAUAGUGUACCGCAAUAAAAAACGGGGGGGAAGUGACCAUUCUGAGCGGACUCAUUCCUUUUCGUGCAUGUCAGCUUCCAAUUAAUUAAGCUUAAACCUUCGGAAGCUGUUGCAGGCGCUGAGUGCAUAGCUUUCGUGAUCGAAAACAAAACAAAAAAGACGUAAUAGAAAUAGAAAAGAAACGAAACGGAACCUAAACGUGAUGUUUUUCUCUCAUUUUCAAUCUGCAACUGUCCCACCCGAAUGCGGACCGCUUGCGCUUGCGUGAGAAAAGCCUUCGAGCGGUAGCAAUAGCGUUCCAACGAUCCAAAUUCAAAUUGACAGGAAAUGUGGCCGCCCGCAGGAAAGCGGGCUGAGAUACGACGAUGCAGGAUCCGUCAGAAAUCGGUGCGGUCUCCCGCAGCGGAAGCAUUACUUCCCAUGGAUAAAAGGAAAAGGGUAAGGCGAGGCGAUGUAGCAUUUCAUUUCACCUUGCGCUGUUCCCUUGUGCACAGUGAGACUCAUCGAAGCUUCGUUAAUUAAACGGAAAUGAAGUUAUAGUCGGGUGUUUUUUUUGUUUUGUUUUGUUAUUGUGUUACUUAAAUUUCUUGAUUCGUUUCUGUUGCUUUCUGAGCUUAUCAAACGAAGGAGCAAACGACAUCGGAAAUCAAUAAAAGACCAAAGCCACACUCACGCUGAAUGGACAGUCUGGGGACGCAUAAUAAUGCAUGCCCGGUUCGGAUCGUUUGGUUUCCACCCGCCAUCACGAUGUAUCCAAUCUAUGAAGGCAGACGGAGGCCUUUUUAAGAUCGAAUUGAUCGCAAUCUUUUAUCGCUACGCUGGACGAACUCGCACUCGAACGAAGGAGGCACGGCCUCGCACCACGUUGGUGGAGCCUAAUUAAUUCACGACGCUAAUUUCAACCUCCAGCACGUUGCGGUUGCGAUCGCGAUCUGCGAAGACGGUACCACUCAACGGUGCGACUUCAUCUUCCACCCAUUUCAAGCUUAAAUUUUCCCAUCGACUUCGAGCCCUGCACCUGUCCGUGUGGUGCCUUUAGCAUGCCUCUUAGGUUUCUGUGCCUUUUGAUCCUAAUCGGGCAUGGGAGUAAAUAAAACGGUACGAUUAUUCCCUCGUAUUAUAUGUGUUUCCGUCUCCUGAUUCCUCUAUUUCGAUUCGAACGGAUAGAUUUUGAAUGAAUUCAAAAGAGCGUCAUAUCGAAAGGCGCCCUUCGAUUAUUAAUGAACCCAAGCCGUCGUCAGGUGCUUCGGGCCUCAUAAAUAUGUUACAAUUGAAUUAUUUACGGGCUUAUGUUUUAUUACAUCUUUGAGUUUUUGUUAUGCUGCGAUUGAAUCGAUAAACUUGAUAGACCUGUUUAUAGUAUUUUUAAUAACGAAAAAGUGUUCUAAAACUUGUUUACAGUUGUCGUAGCGUAGAAGAUGUUUUGACAUUAUGUGAAAUUUAAACAUUUGUCAACAUAUGUCUUCAUGUUAUUUUCUCCGACGCGGAAAAAAAUGAUUAAAUAGUGAUGUGUUUUUCUACGACUGCGAAAAUUUUCUAAAAAGUCAUCAUAGGGCCGAUUAACAGUACCGAUUGUUUAGUCCCAUUUAUCGACAUUUCAUUCCUGUGACAAUUAAACCGAAUACGUCAUUAACUGUCACCAUCCUCCAAAUACCCUAUCUGGCGAUCCUCAUAUCUUCUUUUCAUCGUUAAAUUGCAUAAAAUGAAAAGAAAGAAUGAAUAAACCGGUCCACCAAUCCAUUGUCGCAAAGAAAAGUCUGCGUCCAGCAACCGCCAUUCGCGUAAAACACGUAUUUCGCGAUGACUGCGGGUGCCAUUGGUGGUGGUGUGCACGAGAGCGGGUGUCAACAAUGUUGCUGAGCAUCCCUUGAAUCAGAUUCACCUUUUCAUCAUUUCAAGGUGCGUUUAUGCGGCACGCAGCGGGACCGUAACUGCAAUCAGUCCAUUUCACCAGCGAUCGCCACUCCGAUAUCUUUAGCAUCCGUUGCCACGGGCGAUAUCACAACACCAACACGGGAAGUUGGGGCCGGUUAUCCUCCAACCUGAAACUGUCCGGCUUUCAUCGCCAAGUGUGCAGCUACACUACUGCGUAACUUUCCACCUAUGGUAAAGGAGGAAAAUGUGACUAAUUGAUUUGUACCUUCGUGUGAAUGCUCUUCAUAGUCGAAAGCCGUCAUCAUUCGUGGAACAUGCCUUCCAGAUUGACAAAGAAGAAAAAUCAAAAUCAAUCAAGCGAUGUACACGCUUUCAGCUUAAUCCAUAUUAUACUACGCGAUGUUCAUGGCAGACGGUCCUAAAACGAUCGAAGUCGAGAUCGAUGAUUAUGCGGUUGAUACAGCUUGAACUAAAUACCGUACUAAAAAAUAUCCCAUGAUAGAAUUUUGUUUCAUCGGCUGUGUUUUUGAAGACGUGGAUUAUACAUAUUUUUUUUAGUAAAAUAUUUAGUAUAUUUCACAUAACAUCUAAGAAUUCACAUAACCUCAAAGAAUGAUUUCAUAUUUCCAAGAGAUUUUUCUUAUUCCGGUUCUGUUUCCAUUAAGCCGUUUGGCGGAAGAUAUAGCGUAUAUACUACCUGGUAAUAAUCAGGAAAGUGUGAACGGUGUCAUGUUUUGAUUGCUCAACGUUUGUGGCUCAUGAGAUAAUUGCAACCUUGAACGUCAAAAAUAUUUUUCACACCAUAACAAGAUUGAUCAUUGCCAACUGCUACUAACGCAAACUGUGAAACUAUCAACACCCGUUCGUUUUAUCCUCGUCUGUUCGAGAUAAGAAGAAAAGCCCAACUCUUAAGUUUUCAGAUGUUUACACCAUUCGCAUAUGAGUAAACAACAUGUAUAACCAUGGCAAAUUAAAAAAUAAAUUUGCUAGUCUCAAUGCAAACCAUUCCUGUGCGUUUGCAGCAAAGCAAAGAAGCAAGUGCAUCACACAUCAUAGAAAGUUCUAACCGUUGGUCCUAACUGCAAACGAAAUCGUCGCUCGUACGUCUCGAGUCUUGCUAGUUACCUUGAAGUCUGUUGGAAGAUGAAGGCAACUCGUUUGUUUUUUCCCUUGUUGUGCCUCCUUUCCCAGCGAAAAAGAAAAGAACGCUUCGGCACAGGUUUUUUGCUGAUCCUUCCCCCGCCUUCAAUAUCAGCAGACCGAAUAGUUGCAAGAUCCGUUACCAAGAAUGCACUUGUCUACCCGUAUGAAGGCAACACCGCACGAGACUCGUAUGCCAGCAACAGCAGCAACGGAUAGAAGACUCAUGGAGCUACACGUUAUUUGCUGCGGGAAAACAGAAGCUCUUUCCGUUGGCCAUAAGGCUGCUGCCGCUGUGGUCCUGAAGAAGUGCAGCCAUCGAUUCGUAUCAACCUAUCCACCGUGUGUAUAUGUGUGGCUUGUCUCCGGGAGAGUGUGGGUGAAGUUGAUGGCAGUUACGUGUUCUGAUCAUUUUUCUCCUUGCCCAGCUAACACAAGACGGCCAGUGUAUGGCGGGUCUCACCUGCAAGGAAGAGCAGAUAAACAGGUUUAUUAGCUGCUCUUACGGGCCUUCGCUGACUUCGUCGCCGACGCCGAAACACGCUGCAAAAGCUGCCAUUUCCACGUCGAACGCUUGUUGCAAGUGGUUCGCUCCGCACAGAUCGUGCCCGAUUUGCUAGUUCCCUCACGCGACCCAUCCUUACUCCUCGAUCUGUCUCAAUCGAACACCAUUGAACGGUUAGCGAUUAGUUGGCAGGCUGGAAAUUAAUAUUAAAUUGUGUGUAGACGUGCCCAACGCCGACCAAUAUCGUCUUCUGCACGAUCGCGUGUAUCGCUGGCGGGAGUUUCUGCAGGGUGCAGCAGAUGGCGCACGCACAUCCGUUUUCAGUAGGCUCCGUAUGUGAGUACAUAAAAGAAAAAAAAACAUUCUAUGGAAAUCGAGCCCUGGAGGCAGGCAGAGUUGUUUUACGAAAGUGCCAUGCUUCCUAUGACCUGUCGCCAGCUUCACCGCUUUUGCUGGACAUUGAGGAUUCAAGGUACUGUACAUAUUCCAAAUCGAUAUGGUAAUUGUCUUCCAUUGCAAGCGAUUUGUCGAUGCUAGUUUGGAUUCUAGCCGGGCUGAUGUUGUAGCACACCUUCCACUGUUCGGGAAGGCUCUCUUAAGCAACUCGUCGUGAUCAGGUGUGUCGUCCGUGAUCGUGAACCGACAAUGAACCUUUUCGGUUUUAUUUGCAUGAUCCCAUACAUGAUGGGUUGAUUGAGACAUACAAAGUAUUCCCAUUAGUAGGUGAUUACGAAUGAAUUCUUAUUGAAGAAAUUAGAACUCUAUUAAUGAUAUUUUUAUCCAUUUUAUAAUGUUGGUUCUUUAUUUU